AGAACAAGUCUUCCCCUUCAAAAAUAAUUCUCUCUAGAAAGGUUGAAGAAGGAGUCAACCUAGGGUUUCAAUUCAAGCCCCUAAUUCCACCAUUUAAGGCAAGAUCUUUGAAUUGAGUGUGUAGGUGGAAGGUGAGAAGGAUCGUGAAGGAAAGUUUGGAUUCUAGUUAUCGUUCAAGAAAAGUUGAAGUAUGUCCUCACUUAGCUCGAGGGAAUAAUCAUCUCUAGAUGUCUUUUAUUUCAAACUAUUAUAAUAGACUAAGUAAUUCUAUAUUCGUAUUGUAUGGGCCGUGCCCCAAGUAUACUUGUGUCUAAGAAUGGCAUAUGCUGAGACUUAGUAUUUCUAUGUUUUUAAUAUAAAAUAUGUUUAAGAUA